UGGGGUGUCGCCAAGCGGUAAGGCAGCGGCUUUUGGUGCCGCCAUUCCCAGGUUCGAAUCCUGGCACCCCAGCCA
rnacentral:tRNA from 2 species